CCUACGGGUGGCUGCAGUGGGGAAUAUUGCGCAAUGGGCGCAAGCCUGAUGCAGCCAUGCCGCGUGUGUGAAGAAGGCCUUCGGGUUGUAAAGCACUUUCAGCGGGGAGGAAGGCGGUGAGGUUAAUAACCUCAUCGAUUGACGUUACCCGCAGAAGAAGCACCGGCUAACUCCGUGCCAGCAGCCGCGGUAAUACGGAGGGUGCAAGCGUUAAUCGGAAUUACUGGGCGUAAAGCGCACGCAGGCGGUCUGUCAAGUCGGAUGUGAAAUCCCCGGGCUCAACCUGGGAACUGCAUUCGAAACUGGCAGGCUAGAGUCUUGUAGAGGGGGGUAGAAUUCCAGGUGUAGCGGUGAAAUGCGUAGAGAUCUGGAGGAAUACCGGUGGCGAAGGCGGCCCCCUGGACAAAGACUGACGCUCAGGUGCGAAAGCGUGGGGAGCAAACAGGAUUAGAUACCCGUGUAGUC
rnacentral:rRNA from 1 species